rnacentral:rRNA from 1 species
GACGUAGGGCGCGAGCGUUGUCCGGAUUUAUUGGGCGUAAAGAGCUCGUAGGCGGCUCGUUGCGUCGGCUGUGAAAACCCGCAGCUCAACUGUGGGCUUGCAGCUGAUACGGGCGGGCUGGGAUUCGGUAGUGGAGACUGGAAUUCCUGGUGUAGCGGUGAAAUGCGCAGAUAUCAGGAGGAACACCGGUGGCGAAGGCGGGUCUCUGGGCCGAUAUCGACGCUGAGGAGCGAAAGCGUGGGGAGCGAACGGG